rnacentral:rRNA from 1 species
UACGGAGGUCUCAAGCGUUGUUCGGAUUCAUUGGGCGUAAAGGGUGUGUAGGUGGCGCGCUAAGUCGGGUGUGAAAUUUUGGAGCUUAACUCCGAAACUGCAUUCGAUACUGGCGUGCUUGAGGACUGGAGAGGAGACUGGAAUUCAUGGUGUAGCAGUGAAAUGCGUAGAGAUCAUGAGGAAGACCAGUGGCGAAGGCGGGUCUCUGGACAGUUCCUGACACUGAGACACGAAGGCCAGGGGAGCAAACGGG